CAGACAGGUAAGAGACAGACAGACAGGUUAGAGACAGACAGAAAGGUUAGAGACAGACAGGUUAGAGACAGACAGACAGGUAAGAGACAGACAGACAGGUAAGAGACAGACAGAAAGGUUAGAGACAGACAGACAGGUAAGAGACAGACAGACAGGUAAGAGACAGACAGACAGGUAAGAGACAGACAGGUUAGAGACAGACAGGUUAGAGACAGACAGACAGGUAAGAGACAGACAGACAGGUUAGAGACAGACAGACAGGUAAGAGACAGACAGACAGGUUGGAGACAGACAGAAAGGUUGGAGACAGACAGAAAGGUAAGAGACAGACAGACAGGUAAGAGACAGACAGAAAGGUUAGAGACAGACAGACAGGUUAGAGACAGACAGACAGGUAAGAGACAGACAGACAGGUUAGAGACAGACAGACAGGUAAGAGACAGACAGACAGGUAAGAGACAGACAGAAAGGUUAGAGACAGACAGACAGGUUAGAGACAGACAGAAAGGUAAGAGACAGACAGACAGGUAAGAGACAGACAGGUAAGAGACAGACAGGUUAGAGACAGACAGGUUAGAGACAGACAGACAGGUUGGAGACAGACAGAAAGGUUGGAGACAGACAGACAGGUUGGAGACAGACAGACAGGUUGGAGACAGACAGACAGGUAAGAGACAGACAGACAGGUAAGAGACAGACAGACAGGUUAGAGACAGACAGACAGGUAAGAGACAGACAGAAAGGUAAGAGACAGACAGACAGGUUAGAGACAGACAGAAAGGUAAGAGACAGACAGACAGGUUAGAGACAGACAGGUUAGAGACAGACAGACAGGUAAGAGACAGACAGACAGGUAAGAGACAGACAGACAGGUAAGAGACAGACAGACAGGUUAGAGACAGACAGACAGGUUAGAGACAGACAGAAAGGUUAAGAGACAGACAGACAGGUAAGAGACAGACAGGUUAGAGACAGACAGGUUAGAGACAGACAGACAGGUAAGAGACAGACAGACAGGUUGGAGACAGACAGAAAGGUUGGAGACAGACAGACAGGUUAGAGACAGACAGACAGGUAAGAGACAGACAGGUUAGAGACAGACAGGUUAGAGACAGACAGACAGGUAAGAGACAGACAGACAGGUUAGAGACAGACAGACAGGUUAGAGACAGACAGACAGGUAAGAGACAGACAGGUUAGAGACAGACAGACAGGUAAGAGACAGACAGACAGGUUAGAGACAGACAGAAAGGUUAGAGACAGACAGACAGGUAAGAGACAGACAGGUUAGAGACAGACAGAAAGGUUAGAGACAGACAGACAGGUAAGAGACAGACAGACAGGUUAGAGACAGACAGACAGGUAAGAGACAGACAGACAGGUUAGAGACAGACAGAAAGGUUAGAGACAGACAGACAGGUAAGAGACAGACAGACAGGUUAGAGACAGACAGAAAGGUUAGAGACAGACAGACAGGUAAGAGACAGACAGGUUAGAGACAGACAGACAGGUUGGAGACAGACAGACAGGUUAGAGACAGACAGACAGGUUAGAGACAGACAGACAGGUAAGAGACAGACAGAAAGGUUAGAGACAGACAGACAGGUAAGAGACAGACAGACAGGUAAGAGACAGACAGACAGGUUAGAGACAGACAGACAGGUAAGAGACAGACAGGUUAGAGACAGACAGACAGGUUGGAGACAGACAGGUUAGAGACAGACAGGUUAGAGACAGACAGACGGGUUAGAGACAGACAGGUAAGAGACAGACAGACAGGUUAGAGACAGACAGACAGGUAAGAGACAGACAGACAGGUAAGAGACAGACAGACAGGUAAGAGACAGACAGGUUAGAGACAGACAGACAGGUUGGAGACAGACAGAAAGGUUAGAGACAGACAGAAAGGUUAGAGACAGACAGACAGGUAAGAGACAGACAGACAGGUAAGAGACAGACAGACAGGUUAGAGACAGACAGACAGGUAAGAGACAGACAGAAAGGUAAGAGACAGACAGACAGGUUAGAGACAGACAGACAGGUAAGAGACAGACAGAAAGGUUAGAGACAGACAGACAGGUUAGAGACAGACAGACAGGUUGGAGACAGACAGAAAGGUUGGAGACAGACAGACAGGUAAGAGACAGACAGACAGGUAAGAGACAGACAGACAGGUUAGAGACAGACAGAAAGGUUAGAGACAGACAGACAGGUAAGAGACAGACAGGUUAGAGACAGACAGACAGGUUGGAGACAGACAGAAAGGUUAGAGACAGACAGAAAGGUUAGAGACAGACAGACAGGUAAGAGACAGACAGAAAGGUUAGAGACAGACAGACAGGUUAGAGACAGACAGACAGGUUGGAGACAGACAGAAAGGUUGGAGACAGACAGACAGGUAAGAGACAGACAGACAGGUAAGAGACAGACAGGUUAGAGACAGACAGACAGGUUGGAGACAGACAGAAAGGUUAGAGACAGACAGAAAGGUUAGAGACAGACAGACAGGUAAGAGACAGACAGAAAGGUUAGAGACAGACAGACAGGUUAGAGACAGACAGACAGGUUGGAGACAGACAGAAAGGUUGGAGACAGACAGACAGGUAAGAGACAGACAGACAGGUAAGAGACAGACAGACAGGUUAGAGACAGACAGAAAGGUUAGAGACAGACAGACAGGUAAGAGACAGACAGGUUAGAGACAGACAGACAGGUUGGAGACAGACAGACAGGUUAGAGACAGACAGACAGGUUAGAGACAGACAGACAGGUAAGAGACAGACAGACAGGUUAGAGACAGACAGACAGGUUAGAGACAGACAGACAGGUAAGAGACAGACAGACAGGUUAGAGACAGACAGACAGGUAAGAGACAGACAGGUUAGAGACGGACAGACGGGUUAGAGACGGACAGACGGGUUAGAGACGGACAGACGGGUUAGAGACAGACAGACAGGUAAGAGACAGACAGACAGGUUAGAGACAGACAGACAGGUAAGAGACAGACAGACAGGUUAGAGACAGACAGGUUAGAGACAGACAGGUUAGACACAGACAGACGGGUUAGAGACAGACAGGUUAGAGACAGACAGACGGGUUAGAGACAGACAGACAGGUAAGAGACAGACAGAAAGGUUAGAGACAGACAGGUUAGAGACAGACAGGUAAGAGACAGACAGGUUAGAGACAGACAGGUUAGAGACAGACAGACGGGUUAGAGACGGACAGACGGGUUAGAGACAGACAGACAGGUUAGAGACAGACAGACAGGUAAGAGACAGACAGAAAGGUUAGAGACAGACAGACAGGUAAGAGACAGACAGACAGGUUAGAGACAGACAGACAGGUUAGAGACAGACAGACAGGUAAGAGACAGACAGGUUAGAGACGGACAGACGGGUUAGAGACGGACAGACGGGUUAGAGACAGACAGACAGGUUAGAGACAGACAGACAGGUAAGAGACAGACAGACAGGUUAGAGACGGACAGACAGGUUAGAGACAGACAGACAGGUAAGAGACAGACAGGUUAGAGACGGACAGACGGGUUAGAGACGGACAGACGGGUUAGAGACAGACAGACAGGUUAGAGACAGACAGACAGGUAAGAGACAGACAGAAAGGUUAGAGACAGACAGACAGGUAAGAGACAGACAGACAGGUUAGAGACAGACAGACAGGUUAGAGACAGACAGACAGGUAAGAGACAGACAGACAGGUAAGAGACAGACAGGUUAGAGACGGACAGACGGGUUAGAGACGGACAGACGGGUUAGAGACAGACAGACAGGUUAGAGACAGACAGACAGGUAAGAGACAGACAGAAAGGUUAGAGACAGACAGACAGGUUAGAGACAGACAGACAGGUUAGAGACAGACAGACAGGUAAGAGACAGACAGACAGGUUAGAGACAGACUGACAGGUAAGAGACAGACAGGUUAGAGACGGACAGACGGGUUAGAGACGGACAGACGGGUUAGAGACGGACAGACGGGUUAGAGACAGACAGACAGGUAAGAGACAGACAGACAGGUUAGAGACAGACAGGUUAGAGACAGACAGGUUAGAGACAGACAGACGGGUUAGAGACAGACAGGUUAGAGACAGACAGACGGGUUAGAGACAGACAGACAGGUAAGAGACAGACAGAAAGGUUAGAGACAGACAGGUUAGAGACAGACAGGUAAGAGACAGACAGGUUAGAGACAGACAGGUUAGAGACAGACAGGUAAGAGACAGACAGACGGGUUAGAGACAGACAGACAGGUUAGAGACAGACAGACAGGUAAGAGACAGACAGACAGGUAAGAGACAGACAGACAGGUUAGAGACAGACAGACAGGUAAGAGACAGACAGAAAGGUUAGAGACAGACAGACAGGUAAGAGACAGACAGACAGGUUAGAGACAGACAGACAGGUUAGAGACAGACAGACAGGUAAGAGACAGACAGGUUAGAGACGGACAGACGGGUUAGAGACGGACAGACGGGUUAGAGACGGACAGACGGGUUAGAGACAGACAGACAGGUAAGAGACAGACAGACAGGUUAGAGACAGACAGACAGGUAAGAGACAGACAGACAGGUUAGAGACAGACAGGUUAGAGACAGACAGGUAAGAGACAGACAGGUUAGAGACAGACAGGUUAGAGACAGACAGGUAAGAGACAGACAGACGGGUUAGAGACAGACAGACAGGUUAGAGACAGACAGACAGGUAAGAGACAGACAGAAAGGUUAGAGACAGACAGGUUAGAGACAGACAGGUUAGAGACAGACAGGUAAGAGACAGACAGGUUAGAGACAGACGGGUUAGAGACAGACAGACAGGUAAGAGACAGACAGACAGGUUAGAGACAGAAAGGUUGGAGACAGACAGACAGGUAAGAGACAGACAGACAGGUUGGAGACAGACAGACAGGUAAGAGACAGACAGACAGGUUAGAGACAGAAAGGUUGGAGACAGACAGACAGGUAAGAGACAGACAGACAGGUUAGAGACAGACAGACAGGUAAGAGACAGACAGACAGGUUAGAGACGGACAGACGGGUUAGAGACGGACAGACGGGUUAGAGACAGACAGACAGGUAAGAGACAGACAGGUUAGAGACGGACAGACGGGUUAGAGACGGACAGACGGGUUAGAGACAGACAGACAGGUUAGAGACAGACAGACAGGUAAGAGACAGACAGACAGGUUAGAGACAGACAGACAGGUUAGAGACAGACAGACAGGUAAGAGACAGACAGAAAGGUUAGAGACAGACAGACAGGUAAGAGACAGACAGACAGGUUAGAGACGGACAGACGGGUUAGAGACAGACAGACAGGUAAGAGACAGACAGACAGGUUAGAGACAGACAGACAGGUAAGAGACAGACAGACAGGUUAGAGACAGACAGGUUAGAGACAGACAGGUUAGAGACAGACAGACGGGUUAGAGACAGACAGGUUAGAGACAGACAGACGGGUUAGAGACAGACAGACAGGUAAGAGACAGACAGAAAGGUUAGAGACAGACAGGUUAGAGACAGACAGGUUAGAGACAGACAGGUAAGAGACAGACAGGUUAGAGACAGACAGGUUAGAGACAGACAGGUAAGAGACAGACAGACGGGUUAGAGACAGACAGACAGGUUAGAGACAGACAGAAAGGUUAGAGACAGACAGGUUAGAGACAGACAGACAGGUAAGAGACAGACAGGUUAGAGACAGACAGGUAAGAGACAGACAGACGGGUUAGAGACAGACAGACAGGUUAGAGACAGACAGACAGGUAAGAGACAGACAGAAAGGUUAGAGACAGACAGGUUAGAGACAGACAGGUUAGAGACAGACAGGUAAGAGACAGACAGGUUAGAGACAGACAGGUUAGAGACAGACGGGUUAGAGACAGACAGACAGGUUAGAGACAGACAGACAGGUUAGAGACAGACAGAAAGGUUAGAGACAGACAGGUUAGAGACAGACAGACAGGUAAGAGACAGACAGACAGGUUAGAGACAGACAGACAGGUAAGAGACAGACAGGUUAGAGACAGACAGGUAAGAGACAGACAGACGGGUUAGAGACAGACAGACAGGUUAGAGACAGACAGACAGGUAAGAGACAGACAGACAGGUUAGAGACAGACAGACAGGUAAGAGACAGACAAACAGGUUAGAGACAGACAGACGGGUAAGAGACAGACAGGUAAGAGACAGACAGACGGGUUAGAGACAGACAGACAGGUAAGAGACAGACAGACAGGUUAGAGACAGACAGACAGGUAAGAGACAGACAGACGGGUUAGAGACAGACAGACAGGUAAGAGACAGACAGGUAAGAGACAGACAGACGGGUUAGAGACAGACAGACAGGUAAGAGACAGACAGGUAAGAGACAGACAGACGGGUUAGAGACAGACAGACAGGUAAGAGACAGACAGACAGGUUAGAGACAGACAGACAGGUAAGAGACAGACAGACGGGUUAGAGACAGACAGACAGGUAAGAGACAGACAGGUAAGAGACAGACAGACGGGUUAGAGACAGACAGACAGGUAAGAGACAGACAGACAGGUUAGAGACAGACAGACAGGUAAGAGACAGACAGACGGGUUAGAGACAGACAGACAGGUAAGAGACAGACAGACAGGUUAGAGACAGACAGACAGGUUAGAGACAGACAGACGGGUUAGAGACAGACAGACAGGUUAGAGACAGACAGACGGGUUAGAGACGGACAGACAGACGGGUUAGAUACAGACGCUCCAUGAUAAUAACAGCACUAACAGUAAUACAUCUUCCUGCCACCAGAGGCAGCGCUGAGCAUGCUCAGACCCCUGCAUGUGAUUGGUGGACAGUUCUGAACCAGCAGAAACUGUACCUGCUGUGUCAUCACUGUGACCUCAUCAGUCAGGGUGACCUCACAGCGACAGCUGCUGACACAGACGCAUGCUGCGCUGUGAUUGGCUGACGGACAGCUGCGUCUGACACGUACUGACGAACACGCAUUUAUGUUCAGCAG